rnacentral:rRNA from 1 species
UAGGGAAUCUUCGGCAAUGGACGAAAGUCUGACCGAGCAACGCCGCGUGAGUGAAGAAGGUUUUCGGAUCGUAAAACUCUGUUGUUAGAGAAGAACAAGGACGUUAGUAACUGAACGUCCCCUGACGGUAUCUAACCAGAAAGCCACGGCUAACUACGUGCCAGCAGCCGCGGUAAUACGUAGGUGGCAAGCGUUGUCCGGAUUUAUUGGGCGUAAAGCGAGCGCAGGCGGUUUCUUAAGUCUGAUGUGAAAGCCCCCGGCUCAACCGGGGAGGGUCAUUGGAGACUGGGAGACUUGAGUGCAGAAGAGGAGGGUAGAAUUCCAUGUGUAGCAGUGAAAUGCGUAGAUAUAUGGAGGAACACCGGUGGCGAAGGCGGCUCUCUGGUCUAUAACUGACGCUCAGGCACGAAAGCGUGGGGAGCAAACAGG